rnacentral:SRP_RNA from 1 species
GCUGGGCAUGGUGGUGCACGCCUGUAGUCCCAGAUGGUUGGGAGGAUGAGGUGGGAGGAUCGCCUGAGCCCAGGAGUUCUGGGCUGUGUAGUGCGCUAUUCCAAUAGGGUGUCCGCAUUAAGUUCAGCAUCAAUAUGGUGACUUCCUGAAAGCGGGGGACCACCAGGUUGUUUAAGGAGGGUUGAACCGGCCCAGGUCGGACUCGAAGCAGGUCAAAAUUCCACUGCUGAUCAGUAGUGGAAUCAUGCCUGUGAAUAAGCAUUGCACUCCAACCUGGGCAACAUAGACAGACCCCCUCUGUU